UACGUAGGGGGCAAGCGUUGUCCGGAAUCAUUGGGCGUAAAGAGCGUGUAGGCGGCUUGGUAAGUCCGCUGUGAAAGUCCAGGGCUCAACCCUGGAAAGCCAGUGGAAACUGCCAAGCUAGAGUCCGGAAGAGGCGAGUGGAACUCCUAGUGUAGCGGUGAGAUGCGCAGAUAUCAGGAGGAACACCAAUUGCGAAGGCAGCUCGCUGGGACGUUACUGACGCUGAGACGCGAAAGCGUGGGGAGCGAACAGG
rnacentral:rRNA from 1 species